ACGAACGCUGGCGGCGUGCUUAACACAUGCAAGUCGAACGAUGAAGCCUUUCGGGGUGGAUUAGUGGCGAACGGGUGAGUAACACGUGGGCAAUCUGCCCUUCACUCUGGGACAAGCCCUGGAAACGGGGUCUAAUACCGGAUAAUACUCUGUCCUGCAUGGGACGGGGUUGAAAGCUCCGGCGGUGAAGGAUGAGCCCGCGGCCUAUCAGCUUGUUGGUGGGGUAAUGGCCUACCAAGGCGACGACGGGUAGCCG
rnacentral:rRNA from 2 species